rnacentral:tRNA from 3 species
GCUGUUAUAGCUCAGUUGGCAGAGCACGUCAUUGGUAAUGACGAGGUCGGCAGUUCGAAUCUGCCUAACAGCUCCA